GUGCCAGCAGCCGCGGUAAUACGGAGGGUGCAAGCGUUAUCCGGAUUUACUGGGUUUAAAGGGUGCGUAGGUGGGCCCGAUAGUCAGUGGUGAAAUACUCCCGCUUAACGGGGGAACUGCCAUUGAUACUUCGGAUCUUGAAUGCAGUGGAGGCGGGCGGAAUGUGUCAUGUAGUGGUGAAAUACUUAGAUAUGACACAGAACACCCAUUGCGAAGGCAGCUCGCUACACUGAUAUUGACACUGAGGCACGAAAGCGUGGGGAGCAAACAGGAUUAGAAACCCGCGUAGUCC
rnacentral:rRNA from 1 species